rnacentral:rRNA from 1 species
CUGUGGAUCGGAGUGAAAGGCUAAUCAAACCCAGUGAUAGCUGGUUCUCCCCGAAAUAGCUUUAGGGCUAGCCUCAUGUGUUUGGCAGUGGUGGUAGAGCUCUGAUUGGACUAGCGGCCCCACCAGGUUAGCAACUCCAGUUAAACUGCAAAUGCCAUUGUCUUAAAGCAUGGGAGUCAGUCAGUAGGGGAUAAGCUCUACUGACAAAAGGGAUAAGAGCCCAGAUCGCCAGCUAAGGUCCCCAAAUACAGGCUAAGUGGUAAAGGAUGUGUCGUUGCCCAGACAGCCAGGAUGUUGGCUUAGAAGCAGCCAUUCAUUUAAAGAGUGCGUAAUAGCUCACUGGUCAAGUGGCUUUGCACCGAAAAUUCUCGGGGCUUAAGCCUGUUACCGAAGCUGCGGAUUUUGACCCACGUGCCGGUUCGCCGACAGCGGGGUUGAAGUGGUAGGGGAGCGUUCUAUAGUAGGAAGAAGGUGGAUCGAAAGAUACGCUGGACCAAUUAGAAGUGAUUAUGCCGGCAUGAGUAGCGAUAAAACAAGUUAGAAGCUUGUUCGCCGAAAGCCUAAGGGUUCCUGGGCAAGGCAAUUCCACCCAGGGUUAGUCGGAUCCUAAGCUGAGGCCGAAAGGCGUAAGCGAUGGGUAGCAGGCAUAAUAUUCCUGCACCACCAUUACAAGGACGAAGCUAGGGGAGACGCAGGCAUUAGGACCUACCAGCGGAUGGAUGUGCUGGGCUAAGCCCGACAGAGGAGAUUCUAGGUAAACCCGGAGUCUCACUACUCUGAGAGGUGAUAGGGAUUCCGUAAGGAUACAAACUGGUCUAGUUGUCUGCCAAGAAAAGAACCUCGAGUGGACGCGUAAUGGUGUCCGUACCGCAAACCGACACAGGUAGGCGAGGAGAGAAUCCUAAGGCGCUCGAGAGAACUCUCGCUAAGGAACUCGGCAAAAUGACCCCGUAACUUCGGGAGAAGGGGUGCUUUUAGUAGGAGAUGCAUCUUGCAUGCGGAUCCGAAAGAAGCCGCAGUGAAGUGGUCCGUGCGACUGUUUACUAAAAACACAGGUCUCUGCAAAAUCGUAAGAUGAUGUAUAGGGACUGACGCCUGCCCGGUGCCAUAUGGUUAAGGGGAAGAGUCAAGGGUUCGCCCGGCAGCUCUGAACCGAAGCUUCAGGUAAACGGCGGCGGUAACUAUAACCGUCCUAAGGUAGCGAAAUUCCUCGUCGGGUAAAAUCCGACCUGCACGAAUGGCGUAACGACAUGGACACUGUCUCGGCGAGAGACUCGGCGAAAUUGUAAUACCGGUGAAGAUGCCGGUUACCCGUAACAGGACGGAAAGACCCCGUGAACCUUUACUACAGCCUGAUAUUGGGUUUUAAUGUAGCUUAUGUAGGAUAGGUGGGAGACUGUGAAACUGGGGCGCCAGCUUCAGUGGAGUCGAUCUUGAAAUACCACUUUUGUUGCAUUGAGAUUCUAACUCUGGUUCGUUAUCCGGAUCGAAGACAGUGUCAGGUGGGUAGUUUGACUGGGGCGGUCGCCUCCCAAAAUGUAACGGAGGCGCCCUAAGGUUCCCUCAGCGCGAUUGGAAACCGUGCGAAGAGUGUAAAGGCAGAAGGGAGCUUGACUGCGAGACAGACAUGUCGAGCAGGUGCGAAAGCAGGGCUUAGUGAUCUUGCGGUUCUGUGUGGAAAGGCCGUGACUCAACGGAUAAAAGGUACUCCGGGGAUAACAGGCUGGUCGCGCCCAAGCGUUCACAGCGACGGCGCGGUUCGGCACCUCGAUGUCGGCUCAUCACAUCCUGGGGCUGCAGCAGGUCCCAAGGGUUGGGCUGUUCGCCCAUUAAAGUGGUACGUGAGCUGGGUUUAGAACGUCGCAAGACAGUUCGGUCCCUAUCCGUUACGGGCGUAGGAUAUUUGAGAGGACCUGCCGCUAGUAUGAGAAGACCGUGGUGGACGAACCUCUAGUGUACCAGUUGUCGCGCCAGCGGCACCGCUGGGUAGCUAUGUUCGGAAGAGAUAAACGCUGAAAGCAUCUAAGCGUGAAGCUCGCCUCAAGAUUAGAUAUGCUGCAGAGUUAAUCUGGUAAGGCUCCUUUGAGACUAAGAGGUUGAUAGGCCAGAGGUGUAAGCAGUGCGAACUGUUUAGCUGACUGGUACUAAUAAGCCGAGGGCUUGAUAAC